GAUGAACGCUGGCGGCGUGCCUAAUACAUGCAAGUCGAGCGAACAGACGAGGAGCUUGCUCCUCUGACGUUAGCGGCGGACGGGUGAGUAACACGUGAUAACCUACCUAUAAGACUGGGAUAACUUCGGGAAACCGGAGCUAAUACCGGAUAAUAUAUUUAACCGCAUGGUUCAAUAGUGAAAGACGGUUUUGCUGUCACUUAUAGAUGGAUCCGCGCCGCAUUAGCUAGUUGGUAAGGUAACGGCUUACCAAGGCGACGAUGCGUAGCCGACCUGAGAGGGUGAUCGGCCACACUGGAACUGAGACACGGUCCAGACUCCUACGGGAGGCAGCAGUAGGGAAUCUUCCGCAAUGGGCGAAAGCCUGACGGAGCAACGCCGCGUGAGUGAUGAAGGUCUUCGGAUCGUAAAACUCUGUUAUUAGGGAAGAACAAAUGUGUAAGUAACUAUGCACGUCUUGACGGUACCUAAUCAGAAAGCCACGGCUAACUACGUG
rnacentral:rRNA from 1 species